AUAAUAUUUCCACCGGGCAGUAAAGCCAGCCAUAUAUUGGUAACCCAGUCGUUUGAAGAAACCCCAUUCGUGGUAUACUGACUCAGUGAACCUGGAAAGUGGGAACUGAGGCACCAGAUAGAGAUACAACCCCAUACAUAUAGCAGCUUGAAGAAGAGCCCUUAAAGUUGAUCCAAAAGGUGAGGGUUUUCCUUUCUCUGAAGGUUUCCAUAUUCCUUUUCUUUCAGUCCAUUCAAGGUAAUCCUUCAUUUCAUAA
rnacentral:misc_RNA from 1 species